ACGGCCCACCAAGACGACGACGGGUAGCCGGCCUGAGAGGGUGGACGGCCACACUGGAACUGAGACACGGUCCAGACUCCUACGGGAGGCAGCAGUGCUGAAUUAUUCGCCAAUGCGCGAAAGCGUGACGGUGCGACGCCGCGUGCGGGACGAAGGCCUUCGGGUUGUAAACCGCUGUCAGGGAUUAGAAAACCCAUGUGGUUAAUAGCCAUGUGGUUGAUCAUUCCCAAAGGAAGCACAGGCUAAUCUCGUGCCAGCAGCCGCGGUAAUACGAGAUGUGCGAGCGUUGUUCGGAAUCACUGGGCAUAAAGGGUGCGUAGGCGGUGCGCUCAGUCGGGUGUGAAAUCCCUUCGCUUAACGAAGGAACUGCACUCGAUACUAGCGCGCUAGAGGGUCAAAGGGGCAAGCGGAAUUCUAGGUGUAGCGGUGGAAUGCGUAGAUAUCUGGGAGAACGCCAAGGGCGAAGGCAGCUUGCUGGGUGACAACUGACGCUGAGGCACGAAAGCUAGGGGAGCAAACAGGAUUAGAUACCCUGGUAGUCCUAGCCGUAAACGAUGAGCACUUUGUUCCGGGAAGCCUGAUCUUCUCGGAGCCGUAGCAAAUGUGUUAAGUGCUCCGCCUGGGGAGUAUGGUCGCAAGGCUAAAACUCAAAGGAAUUGACGGGGGCUCACACAAGCGGAGGAGCAUGUUGUUCAAUUCGAAGCAACGCGAAGAACCUUACCUGGCCUUGACAUGCUGGCAGUAGAAUCCUGAAAGGGGGACGAACCGUAAAAUCGGUAACCAGCACAGGUGCUGCAUGGCUGUCGUCAGCUCGUGUCGUGAGACGUUGGGUUAAGUCCCGUAACGAGCGAAACCCUUGUCGUCUGUUGCUACCAGGUUAUGCUGGGCACUCUGACGAGACUGCCGGUGUUAAACCGGAGGAAGGUGGGGACGACGUCAAGUCAUCAUGGUCCUUACGGCCAGGGCUACAAACGUGCUACAAUGGCGGGUACAGAGAGACGCAAUGCGGCGACGCGGAGCAAAUCUUCAAAACCCGCCCCAGUUCGGAUUGGAGGCUGCAAUUCGCCUCCAUGAAGUUGGAUUCGCUAGUAAUCGCGGGUCAGCCACACCGCGGUGAAUACGUUCCUGAGCCUUGUACACACCGCCCGUCAAGCCACCCAAGCUGGAAGCACCCGAAG
rnacentral:rRNA from 1 species